rnacentral:tRNA from 1 species
GGAGGCGUGGCCGAGCGGCUUAAGGCAGCAUCCUGCUAAGAUGUUGUUCGGGAAACCGGACCGAAGGUUCGAAUCCUUCCGCCUCCG